rnacentral:sRNA from 1 species
GCAACCGGAAUGCGAAUUACGAUGUG